UACAGGGGGUGCAAACGUUUGCUCGGAAUUAUUGGGCGUAAAGCGCGCGUAGGCGGCUACUUAAGUCGGAUGUGAAAGCCCCCGGCUCAACUGGGGAGGGUCAUUCGAUACUGUUCGACUCGAAGGCAGGAGAGGGAAGUGGAAUUCCCGGUGUAGUGGUGAAAUGCGUAGAUAUCGGGAGGAACACCAGUGGCGAAGGCGACUUCCUGGCCUGUUCUUGACGCUGAGGCGCGAAAGCUAGGGGAGCAAACGGGG
rnacentral:rRNA from 1 species